AAUCAACGCUGGCGGCGUGCCUAACACAUGCAAGUCGAACGAGAAAGUGGAGCAAUCCAUGAGUAAAGUGGCGCACGGGUGAGUAACACGUGACUAACCUACCCUUGAGUGGGGGAUAACCUCGGGAAACCGGGGCUAAUACCGCAUAACACCGAGAGGUCAAAGGAGCAAUUCGCUUAAGGAGGGGGUCGCGGCUGAUUAGUUAGUUGGCAGGGUAAUGGCCUACCAAGACGAUGAUCAGUAUCCGGCCUGAGAGGGCGCACGGACACACUGGAAC
rnacentral:rRNA from 1 species